AAAUUAAUGUUUGUUCUGAAUUUACCUAUCCUACUAAGGAACAUUUUGUUUCCUUUUUUAAGCAAAUCUACCCGGGUAAA
rnacentral:tRNA from 1 species